rnacentral:rRNA from 1 species
GAUGAACGCUAGCGGCAGGCCUAAUACAUGCAAGCCGGACGGCAAGUUGAGUAGCAAUACUUGACCUAGAGUGGCGUAAGGGUGCGUAACACGUAUGCAAUCUGCCCACAGCCGGGAGAUAGCCCUCCGAAAGGAGGAUUAAUAUCCCAUAGGAAGAUGAGAUGGCAUCAUUUUAUUUUAAACUACGGGGCUGUGGAUGAGCAUGCGGUUGAUUAGCUAGUUGGCGGGGUAAAGGCCCACCAAGGCGAUGAUCAAUAGGGGACCUGAGAGGGUGAUCCCCCACACUGGCACUGAGAUACGGGCCAGACUCCUACGGGAGGCAGCAGUAGGGAAUAUUGGACAAUGGGUGUAAGCCUGAUCCAGCCAUGCCGCGUGCAGGAAGAAGGGCCUUCUGGGUUGUAAAGCUCUUUUGCCAGGGAGAUGAUGACUGUACCUGGAGAAUAAAGCCCCGGCUAACUUCGUGCCAGCAGCC